rnacentral:piRNA from 1 species
UCAGAAACAUGUUUAGCAAAA